UCUGCUUUCCAAUAACAUUCCGUUGCACUGGUCGUCAAUUUGGUUGUGAAAUGUUGUAUUAAAAAUUCAUAUCACAGCCACUUUGAUGAGCUAGUUUUUCGGACCAUUCACCUGGAGAUCUG
rnacentral:pre_miRNA from 12 species